UACAGGGGGGUGCAAACGUUGCUCGGAAUCAUUGGGCGUAAAGCGCACGUAGGCGGUCUGUUAUGUCGGAUGUGAAAGCCCUUGGCUUAACUGAGGAAGUGCAUCCGAAACUGGCAGGCUAGAGUACUAAAAGAGGGUCGCGGAAUUCCCGGUGUAGAGGUGAAAUUCGUAGAUAUCGGGGAGGAACACCGGUGGCGAAGGCGGCGACCUGGGUAGAUACUGACCGCGUGAGGUAGC
rnacentral:rRNA from 1 species